rnacentral:rRNA from 1 species
CCUACGGGUGGCAGCAGUGGGGGAUAUUGCACAAUGGGGGGAACCCUGAUGCAGCGACGCCGCGUGGGUGAAGGAGUGCUUCGGCAUGUAAAGCCCUAUCGGCAGGGACGAAGCAAGACGGUACCUGACUAAGAAGCCCCGGCUAACUACGUGCCAGCAGCCGCGGUAAUACGUAGGGGGCGAGCGUUAUCCGGAUUCACUGGGUGUAAAGGGAGCGUAGAUGGCCAUGCCAGCCAGGGGUGAAAGCCCGGGGCCCAACCCCGGGACUGCCCUUGGAAUUGUUCGGCUAGAGUGCGGGAGGGGCAGGCGGAAUUCCUGGUGUAGCGGUGAAAUGCGUAGAUAUCAGGAGGAACACCGGCGGCGAAGGCGGCCUGCUGGACCGCGACUGACGUUGAGGCUCGAAAGCGUGGGGAGCGAACAGGAUUAGAUACCCCGGUAGUC